UGCGCAGACUCUAUGUUUGCUCACCGCCCGCCGCCAUCUUCCUGUCAACUGUUGUAUUUUUACUGAAUUAGCAGACAAGUGGUGCACUGACUGAGCUGGAAUUAUGGGGAGAAAGAAGAAAAAGCAAAUGAAACCUUGGUGCUGGUACUGUAACAGAGACUUUGAUGAUGAAAAGAUUCUCAUUCAGCAUCAGAAGGCCAAACAUUUCAAGUGCCACAUCUGUCAUAAAAAGCUGUACACUGGACCCGGACUGGCAAUCCACUGUAUGCAGGUACAUAAAGAGACCAUUGACGGAGUCCCCAAUGCAAUACCUGGAAGGACAGAUAUUGAACUGGAAAUAUAUGGCAUGGAGGGUAUUCCAGAAAAAGACAUGGAGGAGAGGAGGAGAGUGCUGGAACAAAAGAACCAAGAGACUCAGAAGAAAAAGCAGAACCAGGAUGAUUCUGAUGAGUACGAUGAUGAUGAUGAACCUGGUCCCUCCUUCCAGCAGCCUGCAGCGGGUCAGCCUCAGGCCGGCUACAUCCCCCCUAUGACCCAGCCUGGCAUACCUCCAGGCUCUGGUGCUCCAGGGAUACCGCCAGGCAGCUACUCAGGAAUUCCCCCGAUGAUGCCAGGAGUCCCACCAAUGAUGCCAGGAAUGCCCCCUGUAAUGCCAGGGAUGCCUCCAGGGAUGAUACCGAUGGGUGGAAUGAUGCCUCCGAUGAUGCCAGGUGUGCCACCAGGCCUUCCUCCUCCAGUGGGUCACCGUCCAGGCCUGACACACAUGCCUCAGGUCCCGCCGACUGCAAACGUGCUAACCAGACCUGCGGUUUCUGUUGUGACUGCUCUGUCAGCCCAGCAGGAUGUCACUAAGCCUCUGUUCCCCAGUGCUGGACAGAUGGGAAGUCGAGUUGCAAGUACAAGUGCAUCAAGUGCAGAUUCUCAGUCUGCUUCCCCUAACGCUCUGUUCACAUCCCAAAGUCAGCAGACUGUGUCAGGCUCCCCCCACACUCCCCCAUCCACCUCCUCUGACCCCUUAAAGCCCACAUUCCCAGCCUACACUCAGGCCUCUGCAGCUGUAUCCAGCCCCAACGCUGGCAGCAGUACAGUCUCCAAACCUCCCUCCACUGUGACCAGUAAGCCCGCCACGCUCACCACCUCCAGUGCAACCAGUAAGUUGAUCCACCCUGAUGAGGAUGUCUCACUGGAGGAGUUGCGGGCUCAGCUCCCCAGAUACCAGAGCAGUAUUCCCCGCCAAGGCCAGACCACCUCUGCUGCCCCGUCAGUGGGUCCUGUGGGCGGCAUAUUGGCUCCUCAACAGCACAGCAUGAGGCAUCCCAUACCUGGCCAGUUCGGUGGUCCACCCCAGGGGAUGCCGGGCUUCAUGCCUGGACGGAUGCCUCCAUACGGACAGGCCCCACCUGUAGUUCCACCGGGGUACCAGGGAGCCCCUCCACGGCCGCCCAUGGGGAUGAGACCCCCUGUCAUGUCUCCAGGAGGUCGCUACUGAAGGCUGCCUUCCUCUCUUCAAUAGGUGUAUAGAAGUGUAGUAGAUAUGGUUCGUAGUGUUGUGAAGGCGCUGGAGUUACAUGGGCAGUACCCACCCUUUAUCAAGCAAUGCCAUGGGGGACUGGCUGAGGCCCUGUCUCAGUGUAGCCCUGUUUCAGCCUGAGGCAAGUCUCACCAUUUUCUGUCUUCUCAUUCAUUACCAGGGGCCCUCACAGCUGAUGGCUGUUGGAUAUCAAUGUCCCCAAACUUGCAGCAAGUUUGGUGAAGGCCCUUGUUUGUGUUGUUGCGUUUAGGCAUCUUUAUCUUCAGGCAUGUUAGCUCAUGUAAAUCUCUCCUUUCUUGUUAAGCUGUUAUCUGCCACAUCUUCCAUUCUUUACUGAUGAAAGCAUCAGAAGCUUUGUUUUCAUUUAAUGGCUCUUUGCUGAUAAUGCAGAGCUUUUAAAUGAAACUAUAUUCCUUUAGAAGCUAAGAAUAUUGGCUACUCCUAAAGUCCACCGUAAUGUUAUAUUUAUGAAAUAUUCACUUCUUGGUCAAAAUGAUUGGAGUUCCACAUUAGCACCACCAUUACACCUGCAGCCAGUUUACUAAUUAAAUGUGUGUUGGGGAGUUUGGAUGAACAAAUGAGUCUUUAUGUUUGUAAAAUGGCUUUACUCCUUAAUCCUGUUUGUUUCAUCAGCUUUCCUCACUUGAUCAUUUGAUUUUAACCUUUACAUGAAGAUGAAUCUCUGCCAGUAACAGGUUAGUUAAAGCUGUAAGUACCACUAAUGUAACUUUAAUUUCCAUCAUGCUGUGUUUGGCGUGCACAUGAUUCAGUUCUCAAGCAUUUUACACUGAUGGCAGCCAAUCAGUUAAGGAAUUCCCCAAAAGUUGUAGUCCACACUAUGAUGUGCAACACAAUUGGCCACUACUUAUGGAACAUUUCAGCGUUAUUUUUGGAGACAUUAACUUCUGUUAAAACCAGUUUCAAUGCCACACAGUUAAAGUUAAGCAGACAGUCUUCUUAGGUAAGUAUGGUAUCAUGUAUGCAAAAGUAUUAAACUUUUUCCUGCUGCAGAAUACAGAACACUGUUUCAUAAAAAGAUUUCUGUUUGUUUGGCGUUUACUUAUUUCAUAACUUGUCUAAAUGUGAUGGUACCAGGAAACUUUGGAAGAAUCAAAACUGCUUUAGUGUUUUAGCAUCUGUCUCACUGCAGGAUAUAUUUUUCUUGCAACAUCUGUACUAUUAAAGUCUGAAUGCUUACUUAAAAAAAUAAACAAAUGUAUAAACUGUAA